AUUCGCCUUAGAGUUGAUCUGGCUCAGGAUGAACGCUGGCGGUAUGCUUUACACAUGCAAGUCGUACGAGAGUUUUUAACUCAAGUGGCGGACGGGUGAGUAACACGUAAGAAUUUGCCUUUAGGAGGGGGAUAACAACUGGAAACGGUUGCUAAUACCCCAUAUGCUUUCGAGUAAAAUGGAUUUUCCGCCUAAAGAGAAGCUUGCGGCUGAUUAGCUUGUUGGUGAGGUAAUGGCUCACCAAGGCGACGAUCAGUAUCUGGUUUGAGAGGACGAUCAGACACACUGGAACUGAGACACGGUCCAGACUCCUACGGGAGGCAGCAGUGGGGAAUUUUCCGCAAUGGGCGAAAGCCUGACGGAGCAAUACCGCGUGAGGGAUGACGGCCUAUGGGUUGUAAACCUCUUUUUUCAGGGAGGAAUCAAUGACGUGUACCUGAAGAAUAAGCAUCGGCUAACUCCGUGCCAGCAGCCGCGGUAAGACGGAGGAUGCAAGUGUUAUCCGGAAUCACUGGGCGUAAAGCGUCUGUAGGUGGUCAAAUAAGUCAACUGUUAAAUCUUGAGGCUCAACCUCAAAAUCGCAGUCGAAACUAUUCGACUAGAGUAUAGUAGGGGUAAAGGGAAUUUCCAGUGGAGCGGUGAAAUGCGUAGAGAUUGGAAAGAACACCGAUGGCGAAGGCACUUUACUGGGCUAUUACUAACACUGAGAGACGAAAGCUAGGGUAGCAAAUGGGAUUAGAUACCCCAGUAGUCCUAGCCGUAAACAAUGGAUACUAGAUGUUGAACAGAUCGACCUGUGCAGUAUCAAAGCUAACGCGUUAAGUAUCCCGCCUGGGAAGUAUGCUCGCAAGAGUGAAACUCAAAUGAAUUGACGGGGAAGGGC
rnacentral:rRNA from 1 species